AUCUCUUUUAUUAUUUUCUUAUAUAUAUCUUUUUUAAUUUUUUAAAGCAACGGAUAGCGUCGCCUCGUCGAGUGGAUCGCCGGGAGGCGAAUCUUGUCGACUGCCGGAACUGCGGCAUACAUCGCCGGAGACAGCUGAGGUUGUCUCCUCGGCCGCCGUGAAGCCUCCGCACUCAUGCAUUCCGUUGUUAGAUGCCUCAUCAGCUCAUUGCUGAGUUAAUAGCUUCUUGGAAUGUAGAAAUCAAGAAGACCUGUUGUGGUUGGAAGCCGCGGGAUCUUCUGUAAGUGGUAAGAAGUGAUAGGCAGGAGUUUCCGAUUGUGAGAGGUUUGGAAGUGGGCCAGUGGCGGCGUUGGAGAUUUGAUGAGUUGCUGGGUUUGAGGUUUGUGGAUUCGGAGCUUGAUGAGAUAUUUAGGGUUUGGCGCUUUCUUUGGGUUCUACUCCGAUGGAUUCUAAAUGUAGACGGGGAGAUACAAGAUGCAGCUGAAAGGAGCAGAGUUUUGGGAGUAGAAAUGUAGUGGAUUCUUUGUUUGUGCUUUUUGUUUGUUGUGAUACGGAGUUUGGUAGCUGGGAUUUGUUAUUUGAUUAGGGAUGCCGAGUAUUAGAGCUCCUGCUUCGAAGAAAACUGCAACCUUGCUGGUGGCUGUCAAAUGCAGGCCAUUGACUGAAGCAGAACGACGCAGAAAUAGGAAUAUUAUUCAAGUUAUUGAUGAUAAGAAUGUAGUUGUUUUGGAUCCGGACUUGUCCAAGGAUUACCUUGACAGAAUUCAAAACAGAACUAAAGAGAAAAGAUACUGUUUUGACCAUGUUUUUGGGCAUGCAUGUACAAAUUCGGAUGUGUAUAAAGGUGUGCGUUCAACAAUUGCUGGGGUCAUCCAAGGCCUAAAUGCAACUGUUUUUGCAUAUGGUUCAACUGGAAGUGGGAAAACUUAUACUAUGGUUGGGACUCAAAAUGAUCCCGGACUCAUGGUUCUUAGCCUAAACACCAUCUUUGAACUUAUCAAGAAUGAUAGGAGUUCAGACAACUUUGAAGUCUCUUGCUCUUACCUUGAAGUGUACAAUGAGGUCAUUUAUGAUUUACUUGAAAAAUCAUCUGGGCACCUCGAACUCAGAGAAGACCCUGAGCAUGGCAUUGUCGUUGCUGGUUUAAGAAGUAUUAAGGUUCAAUCAGCUGACAGAAUUCUUGAGCUUUUAAAUCUUGGAAAUAGUAGGCGUAAGACAGAAAGCACAGAGGCCAAUGCAACUUCAUCACGUUCACAUGCUGUACUGGAGAUAAACGUGAAAAGGAAACAGAAAAAUCAAAACCGCAAUCAGAUUCUGCGUGGAAAGCUUGCACUAGUUGAUCUAGCUGGCAGUGAAAGAGCUUCUGAAACUAAUAGUGGAGGCCAGAAACUUAGAGAUGGAGCCAAUAUUAAUCGCUCACUUCUUGCUUUGGCAAACUGCAUCAAUGCCUUGGGAAAACACCAGAAGAAGGGUCUUGCAUAUGUCCCUUAUAGGAAUAGCAAGCUUACUCGGAUAUUAAAGGAUGGUCUUAGUGGAAACUCUCAAACCGUAAUGAUUGCCACCAUAUCACCUGCGGAUGAUCAGUAUCAUCAUACAGUUAAUACUCUGAAAUAUGCUGACCGAGCUAAGGAAAUCAAGACACAUGUCCAUAAAAACAUUGGGAUUAUCGACCUGCAUGUUGCAGAUUACCAAAAAAUGAUAGACAAUCUCCAGGUGGAAGUUUGUCGUUUAAGAAAGGAACUAGCUGAGAAGGAAUCUCACGUCAACGUACAAUCUGUUGAGAAAAAUUCAGAUGGUGAGAUUUCUUGGCUAAAUACUCUAAGCCAGGAAACUAGUGAAAAUGUCCAGGAACGCAUAAAUCUACAGAAGGCAUUAUUUGAGCUGGAGGAAACAAACCUUCGAAACCGCACUGAACUGCAACACCUAGAUGAUGCCAUCAUCAAAGAUAAGGAUGAUGCAAUUGCUCUAGUGCUGAAAUCAAGGAGGCAACUUAUUCUUGAUAACAUACGUGACAAUGAAGAGACUGGCACUGUGUACCGGAAGGAUAUUGAAGCUAAUGAGAAGCAUCGUCGCCAGCUUCAAAACAUGAUAGAGGAAGCCAUCAGCAACAAUGGAAACAAAACCUACUUGCAUAUUCUCAGCCAGUACAGGCUUCUGGGUAUGGCCAAUACUGAGCUGCAGUUUGAAAUAGCCAUGCGAGAUCAAGUUAUACACAAUCAAAGAGAAGCACAAAGGAACCUCUGGAACUUGCUCUUGGGAUUAGGACUCGGGCAGAAGCAAAUAUUGGAUUUGGCUGCUAAACAAGGAAUAACAAUAGAAAAUUGGACUAUCCCUGCUUCUGGAUCCCUAAACAAGAAGCCAUUAUCUUUUCAAGGCAUGGUUCAACCUCAUGAAAGCAGGCAUCGCAAUGCAUCAAUGUCCUGUGUUCUUCAGCAUCAUCAAGAUAUCAGCUCUACUGCUUAUUUCAAUGGUCACUCUGAUACGCACACUAUAUGCCGACAUGAGCACCAUAGCUCCUAUUACCUACUGUCUUCAAACCAUUGUUCUCCAGCACAUUUGGGCGUGGAGACACAGUGGGCAAGUGAAAAGCCUGUAAAAUGUCCCUGUAUACCUGGAAAGCUUAAUUUAAAUGCUUGUGGGUUCUGCCCUUCAAUUAGACCACAAGCUUUUCCAUGUCGUGAAGAUAGUUUCUCAUCUCCCUCAUACAGCGAAGCGGUUGGGCAGCAAUCUAAGGAUCCAUGCAAUGUUGAUCUACAGAAUGAAAUGAAGUUGUACCAUUCAGAGAAACAAAUUCCACAUACAUAGACUUAAAAGACAAUUUUGGAGAAAAUCAAUCGUUAUCUGGAGCCUUUUCGGUUCUUCUGGGCAUCAUUUUUGAGUAAGAUAUGAAUUUAUGAAUGGGGCCGGCUGAACCUGCUGAACUGGUCCCUAGUGACCGGUUCUUGCCUACAGGCGGAGGGCCCAAGGGGGUGGAACCAGGGAGAGGGAGGGGGCAGCUUAGGUGUGGAACCCACAGCUCAAUUAAGCAUUAUUUUUGGAGGGAAAAUUUAAAUUAAGGGCUGUUUAGUGAUUUUGUAUUUAUCCUCUUUGUUUUAAUUAGUUUCUCUUGGUGGGUUAGGAUUCCAUCUUGAUUUUGAAUCUUAAAUUGAGAUCUCGUGUGGUGCUUGGGCUCUAGUCUUUAGCUAGAGAUUUGGAGAGUUGGUUCUUCCUCUUGAAUUGAAGAUCCGUGUAACCUUGUGUUAUUAUUCUUCUUCUUCUAGUGAAUUUUAAGUGUUUUCUCUCA